UACGGAGGGUGCAAGCGUUAUCCGGAUUCACUGGGUUUAAAGGGUGCGUAGGCGGGUUGGUAAGUCCGUGGUGAAAUCCCCAGCUUAACUUGGGAACUGCCGUGGAUACUAUCAGUCUUGAAUAUCGUGGAGGUAAGCGGAAUAUGUCAUGUAGCGGUGAAAUGCUUAGAUAUGACAUAGAACACCAAUUGCGUAGGCAGCUUACUACACGAUCAUUGACGCUGAGGCACGAAAGCGUGGGGAGCAAACAGG
rnacentral:rRNA from 1 species